CCUAUCACAGCACUCCCACUACCACAGUACAGCCUCAGGGAGGACAUUUUCUUUCUUUCUUUCUUUCUUUUUUUUUUUUUUGAAACCACCUCCUUGCUCUUGGCGCCCCUAUUGUCUCUGGCUACCUCCUUGUCCCACCACCUCCAGGCUGCAUCCCACCUUCCCUCUUGGCUACUGUAAUUGUAAAUAGCGACCUUUGGAAAACGUUAGCGGUGUAACAGUCCAGGAAACUGUUUUUUUUUGUUGUUGUUGUAUUGAUAUGAAAUGAGAUUCUAUUUUUGUCAAAGUAUAUUGUAAUAAUAAUGACUCAAACGGCCCGUACUGUACAGACGAGAUUCUUCUGCUGUUGUUCUUGCUCCCCUCCCCUCCUCUGAGUCCGCCCCUCCCUGCUGCCUCCUCAGUGGGGCAGUGGGCAAGGGGCCCAGGGGCAGCCGAAGCACGGGGUCCUGAGACCUCAGGCAGGAUUGGAGAUCAAACCAGAGGGGGCAGGCCCCCAGCCUGCUCUCUAGGAUCACCCCCCGCCCUAAGGGGCCUGGCCUG
rnacentral:lncRNA from 1 species